rnacentral:rRNA from 1 species
UACGGAGGGUGCAAGCGUUAUCCGGAUUCACUGGGUUAAAGGGUGCGUAGGUGGGCUGGUAAGUCAGUGGAUGAAAUCUCCAGGCUUAACUUGGAAACUGCCAUUGAUACUAUCAGUUCUUGAAUACCGUGGAGGUCAGCGGAAUAUGUCAUGUAGCGGUGAAAUGCUUAGAUAUGACAUAGAACACCAAUUGCGAAGGCAGCUGGCUAC